rnacentral:rRNA from 1 species
GACGAACGCUGGCGGCGUGCUUAACACAUGCAAGUCGAACGGAAAGGCCCUGCUUUUGUGGGGUGCUCGAGUGGCGAACGGGUGAGUAACACGUGAGUAACCUGCCCUUGACUUUGGGAUAACUUCAGGAAACUGGGGCUAAUACCGGAUAGGAGCUCCUGCUGCAUGGUGGGGGUUGGAAAGUUUCGGCGGUUGGGGAUGGACUCGCGGCUUAUCAGCUUGUUGGUGGGGUAGUGGCCUACCAAGGCUUUGACGGGUAGCCGGCCUGAGAGGGUGACCGGCCACAUUGGGACUGAGAUACGGCCCAGACUCCUACGGGAGGCAGCAGUGGGGAAUAUUGCACAAUGGGCGGAAGCCUGAUGCAGCAACGCCGCGUGCGGGAUGACGGCCUUCGGGUUGUAAACCGCUUUCGCCUGUGACGAAGCGUGAGUGACGGUAAUGGGUAAAGAAGCACCGGCUAAUUACGUG